rnacentral:rRNA from 1 species
UACAGAGGGUGCGAGCGUUAAUCGGAAUUACUGGGCGUAAAGCGUGCGUAGACGGUAGCAUAAGUCAGAUGUGAAAGCCCCGGGCUCAACCUGGGAACUGCAUUUGAGACUGCUCUGCUCGGGUGCGGAAGAGGGAAGCGGAAUUUCCGGUGUAGCGGUGAAAUGCGUAGAUAUCUGGAGGAACAUCAGUGGCGAAGGCGACACCCUGGACUCAUACUGACACUGAGGUGCGAAAGCGUGGGGAGCAAACAGG